CUCUUAAAGCUUCUGCCCAGAAGUAAUGCGUCACUUCUGCCCAGAUUUCAUUGGCCAAAAAGGGCUGCCAGCAACAGCAGGGCAACAUGCUUCCUUGUUCCCAUCUGUGGAGCUAGAAAAAAAGCAUCUCCUCUCCAGCCCUGGCCUAUGCUGCUCUCGCCAACACUUCUCACCGCUGGCUCAUCAUUUUGGCAAGUUGGCAUCUCACUCUGCUCCAAGCCCCGCUGAUGGAGCUGAAGAUCCCUUUAGCAGAAUUGAUUCUGGCGUGUUCUAAUUUAAAAAGCCUUGCACUUCUCUGCAUGGAGGCUGCUGAAAUCUGUGCCCAUAAAGGCAGAGAG
ensembl:lncRNA